rnacentral:lncRNA from 1 species
GUAGAGGCCUGGGACACGGGGAACUGUAAGGAUGGGAGGAAGGCCGCGCAGGGGCACCAGUUCUGCCGCCGCGGCCUAGCGCCCCAGGUCCCGGAGAAGGGGCACCAGGGCGGCCAGGGGCCCAAGCUUCCGGGGCACGCUCACCCGCGCAGGACUGAGGCCGCGUCCGCUCCCGCUCCCGCUCGGGCCGUCUCCCCCUUCCAGGCUCCAGGCCAGGCUUCCGCCCGACAAGCCCUGACCCGCUCGUCAGGACUGCGGCCCGGGGUUGGUGGUGCGGAGCGGAGCGGAGCGGAGCGUAGAGUAGAAUCCACUUCCCCGGGUUUUGGGAGGGGGCCGCAGCCCGCUUUCCGGGCGGCGGGGAGGCGGGGCCACCGCGGGGGCGGAGCUCGGCUGGGAGCCGGCAGUGGCUUGGGAGGGAGGGAGGGAGAAGGAGAGGGGCGGGAAGGCUCCUCGCGUUUUCCACGCCCCCGCCCAGCUCUGGGCUGGUGGUAAAUCUCGGAACUGGUCCGGGCUGGGCGAGUUCUGGACGGAGGGGCACGUUUGGGAAUCCUCUUGGAAGAAUUUACGUAAUCGAAUGGGCUGGGACUGGUGGAAAAGAGUUGGACCGUCCGGAAAGAAGCAGGAGGGCGGCGCGGGGGCCUGGCACCCUUAGAAAGUGGGAAGUGUGAGUGUAAAAGGGAGGGGCACUUCUGCCCGUUGGGCCCAAAAACCCUUUUCUGGCUUUAGCUAGUAGAGCCACUCAAAAUUUAAACGGAGUCAGCUUGAUGUGGCAUAUAUGAUAAGCUGGAUAAUAUUUCCUGCACCACCGCACCCCUCCCCCCACCCCAACACCAACAAGAAAAUAACACAAGUCACGGUUCUUGUUCCUUGUGGGCUGACAUUUCCCUGUUUUGCCAACCUCUGGAGCCACGUGUCCCAAGCAGCUUGUAGUUGAGAAGUGAUGGGGGAGAGGAGACAGCACGGGAGAGGAAGGAGGGAAGCCAGCUUAUAUUCAGGUGCCUUAAGUAUUUAAAAAUAUUUUCAGUGUAAUAGUCGAUGCAUUCAAAAGAGCAUAUUUACCAAAUAUGUAAAAUUUAAAGUAUGCUAAUGAAACUAUCACUCCACCACGUUAUCAGUAUUUAGCAUGUAUCUAUGCAUCUCCAGGAUUCUACUCCUGGCCUCUUAGCUCACCACCACUAUCUUCAGUUUUGUCCCUCUUUGCCAUUUUUAGUGGUUUUAUCAUAUUUGGAUGCAUUCCUGUGUAUUGGUGUAUUUUUCUUCUUUUUGAGCUUUAUAAAAAUACAUAUAGCCUGGAAUUCGCUUUUUAUCACUCAACAUUUGUUUUUUUGGUUCAUCCAAGUUGUUACGUGUAGUAACAGAACAUUUAUUUCUUACUGCCUAGUCAAAAGGAAGUUUUCUCCUGUCAGGAAUGUAUUCAAUACUGUAGCGGAUAGGAUUAUAAAUGCACUUUAAGUAUUUUCUUUAUUGAUGGGAACCACACAGACUAAAUGUAUCAGACUUCCCAAGUUCGUAGGUCACAUACCUAUAACAGAACUCUUUUCCUGGGUUUUGUGACAUUUCUAAUUGUUGUAAUUUCUUUUGCCAUUAUAAAAAUUAGUCACUUUUGAACCUAAUUUGUAUUCAUCAUUCUGAAUCUUUUUCUUUAAAAGCCUCCUCUUUUCCAAUUAUAUAAGCUCAUACCCCAUAAAACCUGAAUCUGCCCCUAGUAAUUACUAAUAAGGCUAGUAGGAGCAUUCUUGUUCACCUUCUGUGCAUGCGCUGGACUCUAAUUUGAACCUAGGAUUAGCACUGCGGCAUCAGAGGCUAUGGGGGCUGUUCAGCUUUCAAAGAUAAAGCAGAAAUGUUUUCAAAGUGGUUGUACCAAUCUAUACUGCCACCAGUACCGACCACAAUUCUCUCUAAAUCCUCGUUAUUUUCACACUUCUUACUUUUUGCUAGUCUACCCAGAAUAAAUACCAUGUUUUUGUCUUAAUUUGCAUUCCGUAAUUACUGAUAAGGCUGAGCACUUUGAAAUAUGUUAUUCAUUCAUGUUUUCUCUUCCUCUUCUAAGGAUGUGUGUGUGUGUACAUAUAUAAAUGUAUAUAUAAUGUAUAUAUGUAUAUAUAAUGAAACAUUCUUUUGUUAAUUGUAGGUGUUGCAGAUAUCUUCUCCCUGUUUAUAGUGUGUUUUCAAAUAAAAAAAUUUUUUGACUUAUUUUGAAAAAAU